AAUCUUGCUACCCUCAUCUCUCUCAUAUCUCUUAAUAAAUGGGACUCCAUUAUGAAGGAUUUUACUUGCAUCCAGAUCUUCUCUAUCCUCAAAUCCAUGGGAUUAGACAAAAAGAUCGAGCCUUGACAAAUUUAUGAUCAAAUUUUAUAUUACUCUUAAAGCUUAUUUUCUUCUAGCUUUCCAAUAAUUUCAUCAACAUGCUUUCACCCCCAAACACUAUUAGACUCGGAUACCACCGGUGGGAGAUGGAGAGAUGAUUCUAAAAACCAAAAAAAAAAAAUUACAGUUAUCAACUAUUAAAGAAUAUACUAGCUAGUUAGCAUAAG
rnacentral:lncRNA from 1 species